CCUACGGGAGGCAGCAGUCGAGAAUCAUUCACAAUGGGGGAAACCCUGAUGGUGCGACGCCGCGUGGGGGAAUGAAGGUCUUCGGAUUGUAAACCCCUGUCAUGUGGGAGCAAAUUAAAAAGAUAGUACCACAAGAGGAAGAGACGGCUAACUCUGUGCCAGCAGCCGCGGUAAUACAGAGGUCUCAAGCGUUGUUCGGAAUCACUGGGCGUAAAGCGUGCGUAGGCUGUUUCGUAAGUCGUGUGUGAAAGGCGCGGGCUCAACCCGCGGACGGCACAUGAUACUGCGAGACGAGAGUAAGGGAGGGGGAACCGGAAUUCUCGGUGUAGCAGUGAAAUGCGUAGAUAUCGAGAGGAACACUCGUGGCGAAGGCGGGUUCCUGGACAUUAACUGACGCUGAGGCACGAAGGCCAGGGGAGCGAAAGGGAUUAGAUACCCUGGUAGUC
rnacentral:rRNA from 1 species